GAGAAAGUGUUGACUGUGAAUUAGUAAUCAUUGGCAACAACAAUUCUUUCGGUCGUGGAGGUGAAGGCGGAUUCAGGUGGGUUUGGUCACAAAAUCACUAAUAUAAGAUGGAAUUAAACAACCCAAAAGUAUAUAUCUACGAGAUCUAUGCAUUCUAAUUGAACCAUAUAUAUAUAAUUAAACUCUUUCACAUCCGUUAGAAAGUAAGAAUAGUUGUCAAAAUAAAUGACCAUAUAGUUUAACAUAGAACCGUCAUGAUCGUAUCUCAAACCCUUUCACAUCCGUCACGGCCGUCAGUAGAGUUAGCAACGGUGCUACGUCGACUAUAAGCUAUUCGUGGAUCGCAACUUGGAUCUUAAUAUAUAUAUAAAGAUAGUUUUUUUUUAAAGAAACAACUGCAGGAUCGAUCGAACAUACGUAGAACUAUUAUAAAAAACAAUCGGAAUCUAACACCACCGGAAAAAUAAAGAAGAAGUUUGAAAGAGAAAAUAAAAAAGAAGUGAAAACGAAGAAGAAAGGCGUAGCCUUCCCUUUGCCUCUGAUGACUUGCCGUUUUUGUAUCCUUCAGGAGAAAGAUAACGGAACCGAGCUACCUAGUUAACCGUAGUAGCUCCAAACCUUGUUAGUACGCCGCCGCCGCCGCCGUCUUUAUCCGUCUCAUCCUCCAUAUCUUUCUUCUCCUUUGCUUAGAGAUUAAUUGACUUCAACAAGGAGGUGAGUUGAUUAAAACCGUUUUGGUUAGUGUUUCUUUUUUACGUCUAAUGCUUCAUCCCAUUUAUAAUGCUUCAUCUGGUCCCAUAU
rnacentral:lncRNA from 1 species